rnacentral:rRNA from 1 species
UACGUAGGGUGCAAGCGUUUAAUCGGAAUUACUGGGCGUAAAGCGUGCGCAGGCGGUUAUGUAAGUCGGGGUGUGAAAGCCCCGGGGCUCAACCUGGGAAUUGCAUUCGAGACUGCAUAGCUAGGGUGCGGAAGAGGGAAGCGGAAUUUCCGGUGUAGCGGUGAAAUGCGUAGAUAGUCGGAAGGAACACCAGUGGCGAAA